rnacentral:misc_RNA from 1 species
GAUGAAGAACGUAGCGAAAUGCGAUACGUAAUGUGAAUUGCAGAUUUCAGUGAAUCAUCGAAUCUUUGAACGCACAUUGCGCCCGCCAGUAUUCUGGCGGACAUGCCUGUUCGAGCGUCAUUUCAACCAUCAAGCGCCUCGCUUGUGUUGGGGCCCUGCGGCUGCCGCAGGUCCCUAAAUCCAGUGGCGGGCUCGUCGUCGUACCGAGUGCAGUAAACAUCCUCGCUCAGGGAACCCGACGGGUGCCGGCCGUGAAACCCCCCCUCCUCAAGGUUGACCUCGGAUCAGGUAGGAAUACCCGCUGAACUUAAGCAUAUCAAUAAGCGGAGGA